UACAGAGGGUGCGAGCGUUGAUCGGAGUUACUGGGCGUAAAGGGCGCGUAGGCGGUCGUGUGAGUGUGAUGUGAAAGCCCCGGGCUUAACCUGGGAAGAGCAUCGCAAACGACACGACUGGAGUAGAUGAGAGGGUGGUGGAAUUUCCGGUGUAGCGGUGAAAUGCGUAGAGAUCGGAAGGAACGUCAAUGGCGAAGGCAGCCACCUGGCAUCAUACUGACGCUGAGGCGCGAAAGCGUGGGGAGCGAACAGGAUUAGAUACCCUGGUAGUCCACGCUGUAAACGAUGAGGACUAAAUGUUGGUAGGGGAACCUAUCGGUAUUGAAGCUAACGCGAUAAGUCUUCCGCCUGGGAAGUACGGCCGCAAGGUUGAA
rnacentral:rRNA from 1 species